rnacentral:lncRNA from 1 species
CUUGUUUCCUAUGUGGGAAACUAAGUUUUUUGUCCUCUCAGCAGCUAGAGCUGCUACAACAAGGUAUAAAUUUCAGUGAACUUCAGUGGACAUUUCACUUCCCCAGGGUUUUAGUUGGUGUUCAUUUGAUAAAAAUUGCUCCUGGACUUUUAGAACUGGUCAGUGCAAAAUAAAUGAGGCAUAUAUAUAAAACCUGACCAUCAGCUUCUGAAAUUUCCAUGUUUAAAUUUCCGAAUAAUAUAAGCAAAUGAAACACAAGUAGUAGGAGACAUAACAACUUUUAGAAAACAUUUCAACUUCUUUCCUUAUACAUUUAAACUUUUGAGAACCACUGUCAGUCAUCAAGAUACCGAUUUUUUUUUUUUUUUACUUUGCAGAUUACUCUGAGUGAUGAAGAAAUGAUAGCCAGGAACUCUGUAGACACAGACAAGGAAAAUCUGUGAUAUCCUCCUAUGUGUUGCUCUUACCUGAAGUAUUCUGUUUGGAUUCACCAGUUCAUUUGCUGAUGACACCAAACUUGGAGGAGUUGUGGACUCGAAUGAGGGUUGAAAGGCCUUGCAGAGGGAUCUGGAUAGGUUGGAGA